rnacentral:lncRNA from 1 species
GAUAACCCUUGAUCGAUGGAUUUCACUGCCGAAUUCACUGGAUCGACGGAUUUCACCUGCGAAUCCACAUCUCAGGGUUUUUUCUCCGGCUAUGACCCUAGAUCGAUGGUUUUUUCUGUCGAAUCCACAUCUCAGGGUUUCUUUCUCCAGCGAUGACCCUUGAGCGAUGGAUUUCACCGGCGUUUUCAAAUCUCAGGUAACAUCUUUUUUACCUCUCGGCAUUUUUGGUUUGAAAUUUGACUUGGAUCUGUUAAAUUUUAGGGUUUAUUUCUCCGGCGAUAACCCUAGAGAUAGAUGGAUUUCACCGGCGUUUUCACAUCUCAGGUUUAGUUUUAAAUCUACUUGUUGUUUAUCGUCUGUGAAUAAGUUUGGAUCUGGUUUCGUUUGCGAUCUAAGUAAGGUGUUUGGUUUUGUGUUGAAUAUGCUAUUUGUUAAAGAGGAAAAUUUAGUAUGUGAAUUAAGCAAGUCAUUGUAGUUGAUUGUUUAAUGUUGAUAUGGAGAUUAGGAAUAAAAACAGGGGUGCAGUUUUGAGUUUUAUAUAAUCACCUAUUUGUUGUGACGUGCUGUUGUAACUACCUUGUAAAUAUGCUUGCAUGUUUUCCCAGCCAAGAAUAAGUGUUACCAUAAGUGAAGAAUUUGAUGUGUCAAUCAGUCAAUUUGGGUAUUAUAUAAUGUGCGAUUGAUUGUGUUCUGUAUACAUGUAUAAGUUGUGUGUUUUUUUU